UACGAAGGGGGCUAGCGUUGUUCGGAAUUACUGGGCGUAAAGCGCACGUAGGCGGAUAUUUAAGUCAGGGGUGAAAUCCCAGAGCUCAACUCUGGAACUGCCUUUGAUACUGGGUAUCUGGAGUAUGGAAGAGGUGAGUGGAAUUCCGAGUGUAGAGGUGAAAUUCGUAGAUAUUCGGAGGAACACCAGUGGCGAAGGCGGCUCACUGGUCCAUUACUGACGCUGAGGUGCGAAAACGUGGGGAGCAAACAGG
rnacentral:rRNA from 1 species